rnacentral:rRNA from 1 species
GACGAACGCUGGCGGCGUGCUUAACACAUGCAAGUCGAACGGUAAGGCCCUUCGGGGUACACGAGUGGCGAACGGGUGAGUAACACGUGGGUGAUCUGCCCUGCACUUCGGGAUAAGCCUGGGAGACUGGGUCUAAUACCGGAUAGGACCCUGGGAUGCAUGUCCUGGGGUGGAAAACUUUUGCGGUGUGGGAUGGGCCCGCGGCCUAUCAGCUUGUUGGUGGGGUGAUGGCCUACCAAGGCGACGACGGGUAGCCGGCCUGAGAGGGUGACCGGCCACACUGGGACUGAGAUACGGCCCAGACUCCUACGGGAGGCAGCAGUGGGGAAUAUUGCACAAUGGGCGCAAGCCUGAUGCAGCGACGCCGCGUGAGGGAUGACGGCCUUCGGGUUGUAAACCUCUUUCAGCACCGACGAAGCGCAAGUGACGGUAGGUGCAGAAGAAGGACCGGCCAACUACGUGCCAGCAGCCGCAGUAA